UCAUUAACUAUAGUCACCAUGCUGUACGUUACAUCCCCAGGACUUAAUUAUUUUGUAAAUAAAAAUUUGUACUUUUAACCACCUUCACCUUUUCUGCCCACCCUCCACCCUCUGCCUCUGUCUCUGGUAAUCACCAAUCUAUUUUCUGUAUCGAUCAUAUGGUAUUUGUCUUUUUCUGUCUUAUUUCAUUUAACAUAAUAACCUCAAGAUCCAUCCACAUCGUUGCAAAUACAACAUUGUUUAUAUAGCAAUAUUUAGAGAAAAAUAUAAAUAUCCAACAAGGGAUCGAAUAUUUGGAAUAUUAUAUAUUAGUUAAAUGAUUGUAUAAAAAUAUAAUGCUGACAUUAAAAUAUGUUCCUGUACUAUCAUACAAUGUGAAUUAUAGGAUACAAAAUGAUAUUUAUAGGAUAUAUACAUAUAUGCUAUUAUACUGUCAGUGUAAAUUCAUGAGAUUAAAAUAUAAAACAUCAAAAAAUAAUUUUAGUGAUAAUUAUAAUGUAUACGUGUUAUGAUAGUCAGCUCUGUCAAGUUUCACAGGUCUCUUUCAUGAAGCUUCUCUUGAAACUAAAUAACAGAGGAGGACGAAAGAAGAUAAGAUAGAGUGAACAUGGUCAACACUCGAGCUUAAACAGAGGAGCAUGUGAUUAUUGAAUCCCAGUGCAUUUUAUUCACUGCUUGCAAUUAAUAAGCACUUGAUAAACAUAGUAACUUGGAUUAUUCAGAGGUGACAUAGGCACCCGCAUUCUGAAUUUAUUGAAUUCAAACACAGCAUAAGAGAUUUUUCUGUUAAACUCAGAGAACAUUCACUAAGAGGCAAAAAAAAUAAAUAAAUAAAGCCAUCAUUUUCUAAGCAUUCUUAAUUUGGAAAGGAAGUAUACAGAAGGCCUUCAACACACAAAGAUUUCAUUACUUGCGUUAAUUUCCAGAGUUAUAUGCAAGGCAAGAUUUCUGGACAGUGACAGAGCCAAGGCAAAAAUCUUGCUACAAUGGAAGAAAAUCCCCAAAUCAGAACUAUAGAAGCAUAUCAAUUGAAAUAUAUUCAACAGAUAAUUUAUAAAAUACUUCCAUUGUGGUGGCAUUGGGAUUAUAAAGGAAGACAAGAAUUUGCACUGAACUAAUUCAGAAGCAAGUGAGCAUGUGGACAUAUGGAAAAGGGAAACAGCUGGAUGUUACUUCAGUUUUGGAAAAGAAAAGAAAAGGUUUCAAAC